rnacentral:rRNA from 1 species
CCUACGGGGGGCAGCAGUGAGGAAUAUUGGUCAAUGGACGAGAGUCUGAACCAGCCAAGUAGCGUGAAGGAUGACUGCCCUAUGGGUUGUAAACUUCUUUUAUAUGGGAAUAAAGUGAGCCACGUGUGGCUUUUUGUAUGUACCAUACGAAUAAGGAUCGGCUAACUCCGUGCCAGCAGCCGCGGUAAUACGGAGGAUCCGAGCGUUAUCCGGAUUUAUUGGGUUUAAAGGGAGCGUAGGCGGGAAGCCAAGUCAGCUGUGAAAACUACGGGCUUAACUUGUAGCCUGCAGUUGAAACUGGUUUU